CUUAGUCAUACAUUUAGCCUCUCCAGCACCCAGCAGCAAGGCAGGAGCUGUUCAAAUGGAGAAUAAUUGGCAGAAGACCAAACAGAAACAGUCUUACUCUAAAACCCUAGAGGACUUGUGCCUUCGGAUCCUGAUUUAUUAAGUGAGAAGUCCACUAUCCUGAAGCUGCUAUGCUGGAGAGACCAUGUGAAAAGAUCAUAUAGAAGUAGAAAGAUGCCCAAGAAGCCAUAUAUGCUUCUUUCUGUAGCUGUUUCAGUCUGCCCACCCAGGGAUCGGACAUGUUAGAGAAAGAGUCUUAAAGAUUAUCCCAACCCCAGCCACCAUGUGACUGCAACCUCAUGAAAACCCCACACCAGAACAGUGGUAUCAGCUCAAACUUUGCAAGGGCUAGGAGACUGAGGGCAGCUGACCAGAUUUAUGUGAUUGAGCCUAAUAAACUGGCCUGAGUAAGCUUCCCUGGUUGACAAUAUUCUGCGAGUAUUAUCACACACUGGAUGUCAGGAAAUUAACACUGUCCACAACUCAUGGAAAGGACAACUGGGAGUUCUGUGUUUAGAGCUUUCCUGAACUCUGCCCUAUGUACCCCUUCCCUUGGCUGAUUUUAACCUGUAUUCUUAGCUGCAAUAAACCGUAACUUUCCAUGAGCACUGUGAGUUUGUCUUGUGAAUUAUUAAACUCACGGGUGGUCUUGGGGUCCCCCCAAGCUGACAAUUAAUGUCAGAGAGGAGGAGGAUAUUGGGGGACCCCAACCUUGCAAUCGGUGUCAGAAGUGAGGGUG
rnacentral:lncRNA from 1 species